UCAUGCAAGUCGAACGCAAUCUUUUAACAAUGAGUGCUUGCACUCAGCGUUUUAAGUGCGAGUGGCGAACGGGUGAGUAACACGUGGGCAAUCUGCCCAAAAGUGGGGGAUAACACUUGGAAACAGGUGCUAAUACCGCAUCAACCGGCUGACCGCAUGGUCGGCCGGGCAAAGACGGCGUCAGCUGUCGCUUUUGGAUGAGCCCGCGGCGUAUUAACUAGUUGGUAAGGUAACGGCUUACCAAGGUGAUGAUACGUAGCCGAACUGAGAGGUUGAUCGGCCACAUUGGAACUGAGACACGGCCCAAACUCCUACGGGAGGCAGCAGUAGGGAAUCUUCCACAAUGGACGCAAGUCUGAUGGAGCAACGCCGCGUGUAUGAAGAAGGUCUUCGGAUCGUAAAAUACUGUUGUCAGAGAAGAACACGUGAUAGAGUAACUGCUAUGACGCUGACGGUAUCUGACCAGCAAGUCACGGCUAACUAC
rnacentral:rRNA from 1 species